AUUGCACGCUGGCGGCAGGCCUAACACAUGCAAGUCGAGCGAGCGGCGGACGGGUGAGUAAUGUCUGGGAAACUGCCUGAUGGAGGGGGAUAACUACUGGAAACGGUAGCUAAUACCGCAUACCAUCAGAUGUGCCCAGAUGGGAUUAGCUAGUAGGUGGGGUAACGGCUCACCUAGGCGACGAUCCCUAGCUGGUCUGAGAGGAUGACCAGCCACACUGGAACUGAGACAGGGGCCAGACGCCUAGGUGAGGGAGCAGGGGGGAAUAUUGCACAAUGGGCGCAAGCCUGAUGCAGCCAUGCCGCGUGUGUGAAGGAGGCCUUCGGGUUGUAAAGCACUUUCAGCGGGGAGGCGUUACCCGAAGAAGAAGCACCGGCUAACUCCGUGCCAGCAGCCGCGGUAAUUC
rnacentral:rRNA from 1 species